AAGUAUCCAUACUGCAUUCGUGGUCAUGCCAUUGAAACCUAAUCCUUUGCAGGUCUCUGGACUGGUGAAUUGUUCCGUCUGCCAUAAUGAACCUCUGUGGGCUGAAGGCACCACAAGGAGAGAUGACACUGGAUGGGGUUGAGCUAGUGUUACUCCGGCCAGGUUUUUAUUGAAGACAUAAGGCCCGGUAGUCAUAUGCAAAGUCCCUCAGGCGUUGCCGUGGCUGCUGUACCAUCGUCCUCAGUUUUUCCUCCACUUCUGAGAGGUAAUCGUCUGGGAGAAAAGCAGCCAU